GGGUGCGAUCAUACCAGCACUAAUGCAGCGGAUCCCAUCAGAACUCCGAAGUUAAACGUGCUUGGGCGAGAGUAGUACUAAGAUGGGUGACCUAUUGGGAAGUCCUCGUGUUGCACCCC
rnacentral:rRNA from 1 species